AUUGGAGUUACAUGUUCGUGACUAUGUCUAAACCUGUCACACAUUCUCUUUUCAGUAUGAUUCGUCUCUGAAGAUAAUUGGCAGUUCACGUGAAACUAUUGGAGAUUUUAUCCUUCGGAUUUGUCUCAACCCUGAACUCUUUUUCGUUGUUCUUAUAGAAUUCUUUGGAAGUUUGCUCCUUUGCACAUGGGAACUUGGAGUUAUUAUUAGUUUUAUUGUUUGCUAUAUAUUUACUUCUGCUUUUUGUCGCUUUCUGAAAGAGGAAAUGAUGAGGUCACAUUGCCUUAUGUACAUCCUGCUCUCCUGUGAUUGGUUUUUUUUUUCUAUGUGUUUCUUUACUGCUGUAUGGAGUUAGUAAAGAGAGAUAUGCAAGAUACUCGCCUCCUGUCAUUAUUAAAAUUAAGAUUGUUAAAACACUAAAGCUAGCAUAAUUACCAGAUUUUACCAAUUACAUGACGUAAAGUCAUGAUUUUAUAAAGGACACAGAGGCGAAUAUUAUGCUUAUCUCCUUCUUUAUUAUACCUCAGCAGCAAAGAGAAGGGAUAAGACAUUCAUAGAAAAACUAGAAACAAGUACUCAAAGGGUUAACAUAGCAUCAUAACCCUUAACCAAUGGGAACAGUCCACAUAUCAAUAACCACCCAUGUGACCUUAACUCUCCCUCUUUCUUUGGUCAUGCCGAAGCUUAAUCAACUAUAAAACUUGAGUAGAACAAACUGGAACAGCAUAUCCGGUAUUCGGUGUGUCGAACUCCUCCAUAUGAACGGAUCUGGUGAACUUAUCCGCGGAACUGUGAAGAUAACUGGUCAUCCAAGACGUCAAGCUGAAAUGGGAUAGAGAAAGGAAAUGGUAAAAUGUGGUCUAGAGACUAUUUGUCACAGUGAUACUGGAUAAUUCGUACUAUACACGUUAUUGUCUACAGACUAAAUUACAUGCCGUAGUUGCUACUGUAUGCAAUAUAUUUACAUCAUACAUAACUAAUUGAAUCUAGACAAAACCCAACGAUGACUCUCAAUUCUAAGACUUACCGGGUGGGAAUUAAAUUAUUUUCUCUUAGCUGGUAGAAAAAAUGAGAUACCUACCGGGUGGGCUAAUAUUCGCCUCCGUGUCCUUUAUAAAAUCAUGACUUUACGUCAUGUAAUUUGUAAAAUCUGGUCAUUUUAUUAAAGGACACGGAGGCUCAUAUUAUGCUAGUUUAAAGCUGUGCAAUAACGGUCGAUGAUACAUGGUCUGUAGGAUGAAAAUAAUAUUCAUUGAAGGUGGAUUCGCGGGACCAGUCCGCCGUUCUCAAAAGGUCUUCUAAUCUGCAUCCCAAAGUAAAU